CAUUCCCGAACUUUAUCAGGGCUCCACAAUUUAAGGGUAUUAAACUCAGGUAGAUUGUAUCUGGAUAGGAUAUCUAGUAGGUUUUUAUGCCAAGUAGUAUUAUUUUGUAAUAAUACAAAGGCUUGUUUAGCCAAUAAGGUGUUCGGGGCAUCUGUGAGGUUGGUGAAAAAACGCAGGAAUCUUAAGUGGGCCCUGGCAGACACAGAAGGUAAUCCUACUUCCACUCUUAGGAGAGCUGCCGGAGUACUCUGAGGGAGGCCUAGAAUUCUUCUGAGGUAGAAAUUUUGGAAGAUUUCAAGCCGUUCUAACAGCUUCUGAUUCCAUCCCCAGAGUUCUACUCCAUAUAGCAUCUGGGGAAUCACUUUUCCAACAAAAGCUUUUAAUGCCGGGAUCACCAGUUGCCCUCCCUCGAAUAAAAAAGCUGAGCAGGGCACCGAUUGUCCUACGUGUUAGAAGGGCUACAGUCUUGAAGUGGGCAAGCCAGCUAGAUGUAGCUUGGAAAGUGAUACCAAGAUAUUUAAAAAAAAGACACUGUUCAAUUUUGUGUUCAUCUAAAGACCAUCUAAAUGUGUGGCGAGCUCUAGUAAAUACCACAAUUUUUGUUUUGUCAUAAUUUAUCUUUAGAGAGUUUUGGGAACAAUAAGCUGCGAGCCCCUCCAGCAUGCUAUGUAGGCCCCUUCGAGUAAGUGCCAUGACAGCCAUGUCAUCAGCAUAUAGUAAUAUAUUCAGGUGUUUGCCUUCCAGGGCAGGAGCUGAUGACUUAUACUUUGCCAUAUGUUGAACAAUGUCAUUUAUAUAGAAAUUAAAGAGGAACGGCGCUAACAAACAGCCCUGUUUAACCCCUUUCCCCAGUGGCAGUGGAUCAGUAUAGUUGCCUGACAUCCCAGUUCUGAUUUUAACUGUGGUGUCUGAAUGUAACUCUCUAAGUAUUUUGAGAAGUCGUCUAUCAAUAUCUGUUUCAUAUAAUUUUUGCCAUAAUUUGUCCCUACAGAUUGAAUCAAAAGCGGAUGUGAGAUCUACGAAAGCCACAAAAAGUUUGCUCUUAUGUACCUUUGUAUACUUAUCUAUCAUUGUCUGUAGUACCAAACAAUGGCCUGUUGUACUAUGGCCCUUUCUAAACCCUGCC